ACAUUUUUGGUGUAAGGUGCACAAAAAUUUUUUUGAUAUUUUUAGGAUAACAUUUUAAUUUCUGUUGAAUGUAA
rnacentral:tRNA from 1 species